AACUCAAACCAACUUUGGAGUUGUCUGAUUUGGGGAGUCAUCACUCUUGGUCUUCCCUCUUAAAGGCGGUGACUGGGAUGAAUACUGGUCAGAGAAGAUAUUGUCCUUUCCUCUAAACUGAUGCAGCAGUGGUUUUAAAGGAGGACGCUGCCCUGGAUGAUGUAGAUGUCACAUGCUGUGCUGAUGGAGCUUCUUCAUGACUACAUCAAUUAUGCUAAAGAGAUCAUGAAAGUUGACAGUGAUGCAUGAUCUGUAUUCAUGGACUAUGAAACAAACUGUAAGUGUAUAAUUUGUAAAAACAA